rnacentral:lncRNA from 1 species
UCCAAUCAAGGCUCGUGGAACAGGGUGUCAGUUAGUGAGCAUCUGGUGGAACUCCUAAAGAAGAAAUCAUCCAUUCAGUGAGAGCAAAUGAACACUCCAACAGACUGAAACAAAGCAUCUUUACAGGAGAUGUGAAUGCGAGAAAGCAAAGAGAACUACAGUCAGGGUCUCCGCUGGCAUGGCCCAAGCCCACCGUGGCAUGAUCCAGAGAGACGAGUCAGCAGAGCACUAUGGGCAGCUCCCAUACUCUUCGCAGAUCAACAAGCCAGCAUAUAACCCAGGGAGAUAGAUAAUAGUGAUGCUGUGCUCUGUAGAGGGUAGUGGCAACAGUGGGAUUUCUUCUGGAAUAAAUCUGUAGUGAGCCAGAUGUUUCUGCUGACUAUAUUACUUCUGACAGUGUAUAAUCCAAAAUUGUUUCCUUGGCCUUCCAAAAAGUUUUAUAAGCUCCCUAACGGCUGCAAUAAAUC